rnacentral:rRNA from 1 species
UACGAAGGGGCUAGCGUUGUUCGGAAUUACUGGGCGUAAAGCGCACGUAGGCGGACUACUAAGUCAGGGGUGAAAUCCCGGGGCGUCAACCCCGGAACUGCCCUUGAUACUGAUAGUCUCGAGUCGGAAGAGGUGAGUGGAAUCCGAGUGUAGAGGUGAAAUUCGUAGAUAGUUCGCAAAGAACACCAGUGGCGAAGGCGGCUCACUGGCCCGAUACUGACGCUGAGGUGCGAAAAGCG